AUUUUUUAUAGUUCUGCAAGUUGCAGCAUUGAAACUCGAAAGUUUCGAUGUUUUUAGCCAGUUUAUCAUGGUAUUGUUUCUCAAAGACUGCCAGUUUACUGUAGACCUUACUUCCAAACACUUUCCUUAUAAAAGAAAGCAAGAAAUUCGUCGGAGAAUCACAGACUAUGGAGGGACAAUUUCGUACAUUCUAAACAACAA